rnacentral:lncRNA from 1 species
CGGAGGUCCCCAGAGGCUCAUUUAGAGCCAGAGAGCUAAGUGAGGCAUGGGUAAGAACAGAGACUGAGAGAUUAAGUAAGAGUCCUGGAAGAAGAGGCUCUUGAUCAACCGCCCAAUUAAUAGGGUCAUUCCUUCCAACGCAGCCUCGCUAAGGAGAAACAGCGCCAAAAAAGACCAGUUUCCAGACACCCUCCUUCUUGCCCAUGAUAGGUCAGAAUUGGGCCACACGUGGACUGUGCGCACAAACCUAGUUUCUCUAGGACAACUGGAUUUCCGUAAGCACGGAGGAUGAAAUGCUCGUGUCUCCUUACCAGCCCCAGGAUUUCGGAUGACACGAGUGUUCAACUCAGGAAAGUCAACCAUCCUAUCUCACGGCAUGGACAGGGACCAGGGCCAACCAAAGCAAGGCCUGGGAGACAAAAGAUUUGGGUCUGGACCUUCACAGCAGCUGUGAUAGGCUUUCUCCCAUGCUCCUGAGAUGCAUCAGUGGACUGUAGCCCAGCUAAGACCAGCAGUCUUCUGCUCCAUUCCCCACUGCUUGGCAGUUACUGCCCUUCCUGGCCAAAGUGAAUCCAGGACAGACACCUGGACCUUGGGUCAUAAGUCAGUUCAUGGGGGUCAGCUGGUGUCAGGUGCCAGUUCUGGAGAGAUGAGUAAGACACCAGCCUCGCCCUUGGAGGGGGUUACCACAGCACAGCGAAAGUACUUUGCCAGGAGCACAAAGGGCUUCAUCGGCAAAAGGGAACACGUGAAGAGUGCCUGCCGUGGUUAUAUGGUACACCUUGGCAAACUGUGCCUGUUGGGAGCGCCAGGACGAUUAGUGCUGAGACCACUUUGCACAGGGGAGUUGCAAAGGCAGAUGGGGCUGGGGGAUGCUGGGAAGGCUGCCUUGUUAGCAGAGGGUAACCCAGAGCUGCAGACUGUUCCAGAGAUGCUGAGAAGGAAAGAGUGCUGAGAGUGUUAACUGCACCCCACCCCAUCCCUGCCUGCUCAAUAAGAGCCUGGGCUCUGUCCCAGGCACCUCUCUUAUCCUGUCUUAUCUUUUCUUAUCUCCGCUCUCUACUUCUGAAACCUCAACUGUUUGCUCUCCCUCCUCCUCUCCCCAGGCCUGUCACCUCCUCUCUGAGGCCUUCCUUGGCCGGUGGCACGUUUCCCUCAGAUCCUUUUCUGUGAAGCAGCGGCACACUGCAAUUGCUCAGGACCCUGCUUAGUCAUGGCUUGCUGACUUUCCCCACCCACUUAGAGGAAGCAGCUGCCCUACCCCUAUCGUGACGGCCAGACACCUGACCCCACUGGAAGUCUCCCCACCCCUUUAGAAACCUUUCCUCUGAGCUGUGAGCUAUUUGCCAGCCUCUUCUCAGCACCCAGUUUCCACCUUUGCCAAAGAUAGUGGAACAGCAGCCUCCCCUUUCCUUGGAGAAUGGGAUGGAGGGUGACGAGUCAGAUCCAAAGGCUGAAUUGCUAGAGACUGGGCUUCCGGAGAACUCCAAAACGAUCUAACUUCCAUGUGCUCUGUCCUCCAGAAUAUCAGAAAAAGUGAUCAGUCUUUCAGAGCCAGUGUCUGAACUGCAAGCUCCACGGCUGAUGAUAUAAGUAGCCCUUGCAAGGAACUGCUCUGUGACUCAGUUUCUCUGACGUGCCCUGACCUCGGUGUUGGAUGUGGCUUAUGAAUGCAGGACACUCAUACAGC